rnacentral:rRNA from 1 species
GAACCAAUCAUCACCCCAUUGUUUACUUACCAUGUUGCUUCCACUGGACAGGUUGGCCCGUUAAACGGUCGACCCUCUGGCCUUGUGCUGGGGAGUGCCGGUGGAUAACCCAACCAAAAAAACUUGAACCACAACCUAAAUUAAGCAAUUUUGUCUGAAUAAGUUUUUAUAAACCUUUAUAAAACUUUCAACAACGGAUCUCUAGGCUCUUGCAUCGAUGAAGAACGCAGUGAAAUGCGAUACGUAAUGUGAAUUGCAGAAUCUCGUGAAUCAUUGAAUCUUUGAACGCACAUUGCGCCUUAUGGUAUUCCAUAAGGCAUGCCUGUCUGAGCGUCAGCUCCCCCCCACUCAAGCUCUUUUGCUUGGAAUAUUUUGGGCAAGCAGCUGUAAAAAGUUGCUGCUCAUAAAUUCAUAGGCAGUAUGGUCUUUUCCAGGCUGAACGUAAUAAUUCAAAAAAUCACGUUUACUUUGAGAGGAUAUUGUACUCGCCCUUAACCCACAAACUUUUUUAUGGGUGACCUCAGAUCAGGUAGGGAUACCCGCUGAACUUAAGCAUAUCAAUAAGCGGAGGAAAAGAAACC